AGAGCUAUACCCGGGAGGAACCUGCGUGUGAAUGAGACGGCUGUCAGCAAGCCUACACUCAAAGGAUUUACCCGGUGCAGAGAGCUCCAAGAGAACACCAGAGCCCCUGGUAUUCUGGUUCACUUGAAUUUGUCCUCCUGCCUAUUCCAUAUUUUUUUCACACAUAUAAUCAUUUGUUUGCAGUCCGGAAAUAUAAAACCAUUCAAGAAACGGAGGCCCAACUAUUGGCUUCCCGAUUAUUCUACCAACUCUACCAAAUCCUUGUUCUUCGUUGCACAAUUAGCUGUGAAACAGACAGAGGUUACCUACAAUAAGGUCACCAGCUCGAACAGACCCUUCUUGCUCUGUCCCAAGGACAAAGAAGAUGGCUGCUGCGUUCCCCUCUGUGAAGAAUUUGCUGGCCUUUGAAAGAAACGGUCAGUAGAAGAUUCACUGGAUAGUGAAAUUCUUUGUGCCUGGGAUGUGUUCAGUCUGCUUUUCUGCUGCACCAGGAAAGAAGGUCCAGUGUCUUAUUUCAUUCUGGAGCUUUUUGAAACUUUUUACUCUGUACUUUAAUUUUGGCAACCUUGGACUGAUGGGGUUUGUAGAUAUUAAUUAUCAAAUUGUUAUUUAUUAGCUGAUAUUCUUUCAAUUCAAUAAAUAUUUUAAAUCCCUUGUGGUGUCUGUUGAACACGUUACCAGGAAACUGAAAUAAUAUCUUCAGUCUUCCUUUUCUUUCCUCCACAAAAUAGAAAGAAGAUAACUAUACAUAGCUGAUAGUUAUUUUCUCUCAGAAAUUCAAAUAUAUUAUUUUUAAGUGCUUCUGUAAAUAUUUGAACUGAAUGCAAUUUAAAAAAUAAAAAUCUAAAGACCAAUACAAUUUUAUCUCAUAAGAUUUUUAUUUUUGACCUUUAAGUCAAGAAUUAAUAUCUCUAUAUUAGCUGCAAAUGGAUUUAAUUACCUAUAUCUGAUUCCAUGUUAAUAAUAUUAAACCCAACAUAGAAAUAUUGCAAUUAUGGGUGUGGUUUUUACCUAAGUAUUCCCAGGAGCAUUUGGGACCAGGCAGAAUAUGGAAAUGUUAAAGGUUACAGCUCAGGAGCUAAAGGUGCGCCUAUAAUGAACUAAAUCAAAGUUCAAUGAAAUAAAUUCAAGAUAUUUAUUGAUGUUUAUUAGGGACCUUAAUGGAUCCACUUUAUUUACUUGCAGGAUAAUUGGAGUAUAGCAGUGUAAGUAGAAGUUUCAGUAGAAGGAAGCAGCCUAUUGUUAAAGACCAGUUGUUCACUUUGCUGAUGAUUAAACACUGCUCUAAUAUAAAGGCAAAAAAUAUUUGCUGUGUUUUCCUUUUUUCUGUUUAGGCUUAAAGGAAACAUAAGUAGCUGUAGUAUUGUGAUAGAGUAGACACCUAAAGUCAUCAGUUUUAGGUAAAAGGCUAGUGAGGCCACUCCUGAAAUUUUGCGUUGGAGGGGCUACAAAUUACUAUUAUCCUUCUGAUUCCAGUUGUGUGUGUUACAAGUUUAUUUUCUGCAACUUUGAGGACUUGAAAUUUUCCUUAAUGCAUUUGUUCAACUUCUUUCCAAGAAAAUUAUGCUAUUAAUUUAAUUACUAAGAUCUUUAUUUGUAUUUAACUUAUUAAAUAUAUGUGUUAGGAA
rnacentral:lncRNA from 1 species